GAUGAACGCUGGCGGCGUGCCUAAUACAUGCAAGUCGAGCGCACGGACGAGAAGCUUGCUUCUCUGAUGUUAUCGGCGGACGGGUGAGUAACACGUGGAUAACCUACCUAUAAGACUGGGAUAACUUCGGGAAACCGGAGCUAAUACCGGAUAAUAUUUUGAACCGCAUGGUUCAAAAGUGAAAGACGGUCUUGCUGUCACUUAUAGAUGGAUCCUCGCUGCAUUAGCUAGUUGGUAAGGUAACGGCUUACCAAGGCAACGAUGCAUAGCCGACCUGAGAGGGUGAUCGGCCAAACUGGAACUGGGACACGGUCCAGACUCCUACGGGAGGCAGCAGUAGGGAAUCUUCCGCAAUGGGCGAAAGCCUGACGGAGCAACGCCGCGGGAGUGAUGAAGGUCUUCGGAUCGUAAAACUCUGUUAUUAGGGAAGAACAUAUGUGUAAGUAACUGUGCACAUCUUGACGGUACCUAAUCAGAAAGCCACGGCUAACUACGUG
rnacentral:rRNA from 1 species